CUGGCGGUCCGGAAGGCCCUCGGGCCCCCGGAUCCUCGGGUCUCCCGCUCGCGGGAGGCUGCCCGCCGGAGUGCCGAAACCAAACUCUUGAUAUUUUAUGUCUCUCUGAGUAAACUUUUAAAUAAGUCAAAACUUUCAACAACGGAUCUCUUGGUUCUGGCAUCGAUGAAGAACGCAGCGAAAUGCGAUAAGUAAUGUGAAUUGCAGAAUUCAGUGAAUCAUCGAAUCUUUGAACGCACAUUGCGCUCGCCAGUAUUCUGGCGAGCAUGCCUGUUCGAGCGUCAUUUCAACCAUCAAGCUCUGCUUGCGUUGGGGAUCCGCGGCUGCCCGCGGUCCCUCAAAAACAGUGGCGGGCUCGCUAGUCACACCGAGCGUAGUAACUCUACAUCGUUCUGGUCGUGCGGCGGGUUCUUGCCGUAAAACCCCCCAAUUUCUAAGGUUGACCUCGGAUCAGGUAGGAAUACCCGCUGAACUUAAGCAUAUCAAUAAGCGGAGGAAAAGAAACCAACAGGGAUUGCCCUAGUAACGGCGAGUGAAGCGGCAACAGCUCAAAUUUGAAAUCUGGCUUCGGCCCGAGUUGUAAUUUGUAGAGGAAGCUUUUGGUGAGGCACCUUCUGAGUCCCCUGGAACGGGGCGCCAUAGAGGGUGAGAGCCCCGUAUAGUCGGAUGCCGAUCCAAUGUAAAGCUCCUUCGACGAGUCGAGUAGUUUGGGAAUGCUGCUCAAAAUGGGAGGUAAAUUUCUUCUAAAGCUAAAUAUAGGCCAGAGACCGAUAGCGCACAAGUAGAGUGAUCGAAAGAUGAAAAGCACUUUGAAAAGAGGGUUAAAUAGCACGUGAAAUUGUUGAAAGGGAAGCGUUUUUGACCAGACUUGCGCCGUUCCGAUCAUCCGGUGUUCUCACCGGUGCACUCGGGACGGCUCAGGCCAGCAUCGGUUUUGGUGGGGGGAUAAAGGUCCGGGGAA
rnacentral:rRNA from 1 species